AUAUAAUCGUUAACUCUUGAUUUAUGCAAGUCAAUUAAUAAUAAUAAAAAAAAAUCUAAUAAAUAAAUCGUAUGUAUAUUGUCUUAUUAAAAAAAAAAAAAAACUAGUGGAUCUAAUAAAAUAUACGAUAAAAAAGUAUUAGUGCGCCUAAACAUUCAAGUGCCUGUAUAGUUUGUUGUUGUCCGUAUGUUUGAAUCGAUUCCAGUAACAUGAUAACCCGAGUUACCAGAGAUUAAAACCAAUAAACUUGUUAUGUUUUUCAAUUUCAAUUGAAAUUCGCUACCAGGGAUUCAGAAAGCAUCUAUUUACAGAAAAGCACGCGGCAAAAGCUAACAAAAAUACGUCGAGCUUUGAUCCCUGCAGCUGUGUGAUAGUGCGUCAUAUGUUUACCAGUCACUUACAAUGCCACGAGACGAAAAUAGAAAUAUUCUAAGUAAUAUAAUUAAUUUCUCGUAAUUCAAUAAUUUCUGAUCAUCGAUUUAUAUGGUAAUUAUUUCCCGGCUAUUACACGUGCAUAUAAUAGCGUUUAUAUAGCAAUAAUUAUUACUACUACUAUUCACAUCGUAGCAUUUUGUUUCUAAGUCAAGAACCUUGAAAGUUAAAUGCAAAGUUUUACAUAUUAUCUUGAGUUGCUCUUAUAAUUAUUAUAUCAUAUAGACAUUUAAAAUGUCAAAAAAAAAAAAUUCAGGAUGGUUAAAUAAAAAAUACUUUUCCUUGGAAAAUAUAAUUCUAAUUCUAAUUUGAGACAUGAAACCUCUAGCAUAACAUGUUUAAAAUAGUUUGAAUAAUUUUAAUCUAUAUUUAGGUAUACAGUAAAUAAAAAUUAUAAAAUAUGCUUUAAAAUCUAUGCUGAUACACAGUUUCUUUUCAGAAUCGACAAUCGUCCUUACUUGAUCGUCGUGUACAAUUUAUCAUUUAAUUCAAAUUUAACACUUCCAUUUUAGUGGCUCGUGAAAAAAAGUUUUACUAUUUAUAUUGCAGCAGAAUGACCAGUUGUUUUUUUCAUUUCCACAGUAUUAGUUCUGACAAAUCGUACGGAGAACGUACAAUGUACAUAGCGCGGCGUAGUCAUAACUCACAGAUUAUAAUAAUUACAAAAAUAAUAUCAAUGAUACAUAUAAUAAUUGUUUUUCAAAUUCAUGAAAGUUUAAAAAUGUAUAAUAUGUAAGUUUUUAAGUUUUUAAUGUACCAUUUUUCUAAAAAAUAAAAGAAACUCGGCAAAUUAUAA